rnacentral:lncRNA from 1 species
GUUUCAGCGAGCGUCUUUCCAGGCCGUAGGCGUCUCCCGUCUCCGUCUCCCAGGUCCCUCAUAGUGAUAUAGGUUAGUGCCAACCUUCUUCCCUUCACCUAGGGACCUCUUUUCUGUCAUUAUAUUUCUUGCCUUUCUCCGAGUUAAUCUGUGGUCUCUCAUUCCCCUUUUCUGUCCGUCUUCUUAGGGUUCCUUAGACCCCCCUUUCGAAACUACUCAAAAUGUCCUCCGGUUCUUCUGCUCCCAGCAGUUCUGAGAGCUCUUCCGCCUCAAACCCCCAGGUUCCCGUCGCUGUAGACGAACCUGCAUCUGAGGUCGGGCCCCGCUCGGCUUUCGCACCGGGCGUCAUUCCGUGUUCCUCGACCUCGGAGGAACUCCUUCUGAUAAGGGUUCAGUACGGAGUUCCUCCGGAGUACGAUUUGGAACUGCCAGGCCCUUCUGACCGGGCCAGUAAUCCUCCACCCGGUCGCUUCUGUUUAUACCAGGAAGCAUUCCGUGCUGGACUCCGGCUCUCGCUUCCUUCUUUUGUUGCCGCCUUCUUCCGCUUUUUAGACGUCUCCUUGGCUUCCGUGGCCCC